GGGUAGUGAGCCAAACGGCGCGUCAUAGAGUACCAUUAUUUUAGGGGGUCAUUUGGCGUUCCUUAAUGGUAUUCCUCGAUGAAAAUUGAAAGCAUACAAGUAACUAGAAAACUCGUGUUUCAAUUUCAAAAGAAACAAAUAAUUGAGUAAACUUUUGAAUUAAACUUCAAUAUUUUCUGUAAAGAUUUUAAGUUCUACUAACGAUUACACUUCAAUUCUUAAGGAUUACAAUCAUGGCUCGAAGAUUACUAACAAGAACAGAAUUGAGGAUGGAAGACCUGCAGGAAUAUGAGUUUGUUAAAAAGCAUCAAGAAAGGAGAAAAAAUGGAAUGGAUAGCUCGAACACAUCAGCAUUUGGUAGACCAGAGGAAUCUAUGAUUUCAAGUUUUAAACACAAUAGAGAAAUGAUUUAUGAAAGGAUUGGUUAUAACCCAACUCCUAGAAAUCCACAAUGAUCAAACCACUAAGGAACUUCAUUUAAAAAGAUUAAAGUUGUAGAAGCUUACUUGAAACAAGCAAUUCUGAUUCUGAUCUGAUAAAAAAUCUGAAACUGAUGCACAUAAAUAUGACAGCUGAGUAAUAAGAGUAGAAAACCAUUUUUAUUAUUUGAGAUUAAUGGAUUUGAAUGUCUCAUUUAUUUUACCAAUUACAUAUGAAUAGUUAGUAAAUUAUUCAAAACUA